rnacentral:tRNA from 1 species
GGAGAGAUGGCAGAGCUCGGUUGAAUGCAGCUGACUUGAAAUCAGCCGACGGGUUAAACCGUCCGGGGGUUCGAAUCCCUCUCUCUCCGCCA